rnacentral:rRNA from 1 species
CCUACGGGUGGCUGCAGUAAGGAAUAUUGGUCAAUGGAGGAAACUCUGAACCAGCCAUCCCGUGUGAAGGAUGAAGGGGCUCUGCCUUGUAAACUUCUUUUGUCUGGGGCGAAAAAGCUCGAUUUAUCGAGAACUGACGGUACCAGAAGAAUAAGCACCGGCUAACUCCGUGCCAGCAGCCGCGGUAAUACGGAGGGUGCCAGCGUUACCCGGAAUCACUGGGUCUAAGGGGUCCUUAUGCGUCUUAGUAGAAAGGGCGUGGCUUAACCAUGGAAUUGCCGUUGAUACUGCAGAGCUUGAAUGAGGUUGAGGUUGGCGGAAUGUGACAUGUAGCGGUGAAAUGCUUAGAUAUGUCAUGGAACACCGAUUGCGAAGGCAGCUGACUGGACCUAUAUGGACGCUGAGGCACGAAAGCGUGGGGAGCGAACAGGAUUAGAUACCCCUGUAGUC